UAGAAGAGUAGAAAAAUAGACAGAUAGAUUCAUUAUUCAUUUCCCAAAUUAGGCAAACAAACAUUUUGAAGAAUCUCAACUAUACAAGUCUCACAGUAACCGGCCCCAAUAUACAAAUAUAUAUGCGGAAAAUAACAUAAUGCUUUAGACCUUGACUUAGCCAAUAAAACCCAUGACAGAAGGAUUCCAAAUCAUAUUACACAUACAUUUGGUGCAACAACUUCCAACAACCAAAUAAAAACUCCAAAGCAAAUAAAUAAAACUCGCAACCUAUAUAGUACUUUAAAUUAUUUCCCAAAAUGAGCAGCUUAUAUUGGUUCUCAAACAUGGCCAGCUAAGACUAUGAUUUCCAUUGCAGUUAUAUAAAUUUUCAAUGGCUGCCAAAUUCUUUUGUCAGCAAUGAAUGUUAGAAUCUAUAUUGUCAUCUUGUUUUUCUGGGCUCUGCUUACCGCCGUCACUCCCACGCUUGUUCGCCUCGCUGCUUCUGCUAAUCUUCAAUCAAGAUUAGAUGAUGCAGGUGAAGGCAGGGAAGGGGUGAAGUUAUUGUUGCCGAGAAAGGCUCUUGCCGAAGCAAUAGUUUCAGUACCGGCAGUGGCACCGGCGACAGCACCUGCGGCGGCGAAGGUGUGGUUCUUGUUGAGUUGAGGGAUCAUUUUGGUCGGAAUAAAAUGAGUUUGCAUUGUGUGGAGCAGAUGCACCUACCUACCUGCCUUGAUUAAUUAAUUGUAAAUAAUACCCUUUCUUAGAAGGUAUGAUUAAUUUGUUGUUAUAGGAUCAUUAUUUAAUUUUUACAACAAUUCAUUUAUAGAAAUAUUUAUCACAAUGAAAGGAAAAGAAAAGCGGAUUGAAAUUA